CGUAGACUCCUACGGGAGGCAGCAGUGGGGAAUAUUGCACAAUGGGCGCAAGCCUGAUGCAGCCAUGCCGCGUGUGUGAAGAAGGCCUUCGGGUUGUAAAGCACUUUCAGUUGUGAGGAAGGUGGUGUCGUUAAUAGCGGCAUCAUUUGACGUUAGCAACAGAAGAAGCACCGGCUAACUCCGUGCCAGCAGCCGCGGUAAUACGGAGGGUGCGAGCGUUAAUCGGAAUUACUGGGCGUAAAGCGCAUGCAGGUGGUUUGUUAAGUCAGAUGUGAAAGCCCCGGGGCUCAACCUCGGAACUGCAUUUGAAACUGGCAGACUAGAGUACUGUAGAGGGGGUAGAAUUUCAGGUGUAGCGGUGAAAUGCGUAGAGAUCUUGAAGGAAUACCGGUUGGCGAAGGCGGCCCCCUGGACAGAUACUGACACUCAGACUGCGAAAGCGUGGGGAGCAAACAGGAUUAGAUACCCUGGUAG
rnacentral:rRNA from 1 species